GACCAGGCUGGCCUUAAACUCACGGAGAUCCAUCUGCCUCUGUCUCCCGAGUGCUGGGCUAUGGGGCCAUAUUGGUCAACAACCCACAAACCCACCCCUGGUACUGGAGUUUUCAUUUGCUAGCAAACAGUAUCUAGUUGGGGUGUUGUGCUCUUUAAUGGGCAGCUCCAUUAAAACUAAUUGUUUUAAUUUAUGUGUGUGAGUGUUUUGCCUGCAGAUAUGUCUGUGCAGCAAAGUGCAUGCCUGGUGCCUGUGGAGGCCAGAAAAUGGCAGCUGUUAUCCUAAAACUGAAGUUGAGACAGUUGUGAAGUGCCAGGGGCUCGGUCUUAUGUGGAGAUCCUCGAUCCCUCUAGAGGCUGUGCAGGAUAAGGAGUAAGAAUCACAUUUCAUACACACAUCUACACUGGUAGGUAGACCAGAAGCCUGCCUCUUCCAGCUGGACAGACACCAGUGACUAGAAGCUCAGAUCACGAGGGAUAGGAACACAGAACACAGUACACCAGGUGCCGAACAGCAGUGGUGUAUGUGGGUGGACCCAGGGCUGAAAUUUAAAUGGCUACUUGUGUGGCUUUCAUCUCAAUUAAAAGUGAUUUUGUUUUUGUUUUAUGACAGGAUCCCUCUAUAUAGUCCUGGCUGUCCUGCAACUUGCUCUGCUAGACCAGGCUGGCCUUGAACGCACAGGUACGUCUGGCUCUGCCUCAAAAGAGCUGGGAUCAAAGGUGUGCGCCACCACACCUGGCCAGCUGUAAGUACUUGUUACGUCCUUUGUGGUUUCCCAGCUAUAAAGGGAUUCGUCCUGGGACUCAGUAACGGAUCUCACCCACCCACUGCAAUGACGGCUCAGGACCGGACAAUCUGUACAGUUCACUAGAUCAAAAACAGUUAACAUUCAAGAGAGGAUGCACAAGCAGGGAGCGGCAGGUCUUAAGACUCAGGACUGGGUACCAUGGCAGCCGCCAGUUGGAGGUGCACCCCUUGCUCCACCACUCUGUGCUCUUGGCCUAGCAGGCCCCUCCUUGUCUCUCUCAUUUCUGACUUCUGGUCAGCUUGACUACCUUCACAACGGUGCCCUAUCAGGAGGUAAACGGCUUGCCUCCAGGUUCCCAGCCUGCGCCUUGUCUGAGUGUCUGCUGAAGCCUCCCAGCUAGCACUUGGAGUCUCACAGCUCAUACCGCACCACCGGUGAUCCCUCCUGACCAUCACUGUGCUGCUGGGCCUACUUCCACCCGGAGUCAAGAACCCUGGUGGAGCAGGAGUGUGCUUCCCACUGGAAUCAAAACCAAGGGCCGCGUGGCUCACAUAGCCACCGCCUGUCGGAACCUAGCCACGCUUCCUUGCAUGUCUCACUGACCCUGGAGGCUGGAGGUUUGGUUUUUCAACUAAGUUUGCUCUUGGAUAGCUUUGUGCUUAUAUAUCAGAAUAGAUGUAUAUGUAUAUGUGUAUAUGUGUGUAUAUAUACACACACACACACAUAUGUGUAUGUAC